rnacentral:rRNA from 1 species
GACGGAGGGUGCAAGCGUUGUUCGGAAUUACUGGGCGUAAAGCGUACGUAGGUGGCGGAUUAAGUCGAAUGUUAAAGCCUGGGGCUCAACCCCAGAGAUGCAUUCGAUACUGGUUUGCUAGAGGGUGAUAGAGGAAAGCGGAAUUCCCAGUGUAGCGGUGAAAUGCGUAGAUAUUGGGAGGAACAUCAGUAGCGAAGGCGGCUUUCUGGGUCACACCUGACACUGAGGUACGAAAGCGUGGGGAGCAAACGGG